UACGUAGGGGGCGAGCGUUGUCCGGAUUCAUUGGGCGUAAAGCGCGCGCAGGCGGUUGGCAGAGCCCGGCGUGAAAGCCCCCAGCUCAACUGGGGGAGGCCGUCGGAGACCUGUCGACUUGAGGCCGGUAGGGGAGAGCGGAAUUCCCGGUGUAGUGGUGGAAUGCGUAGAGAUCGGGAAGAACAUCGGUGGCGAAAGCGCUCUACUGGACCGCAACUGACACUCAGGGACGAAAGCUAGGGGAGCGAAUGGG
rnacentral:rRNA from 1 species